GGUGCACAAAUUAGAUCCCGAGUCAGAUGGGCAGAGGAAGGGGAAAAAACACAAAAUAUUUUUUGGGUCUUGAAAAAUCAAGACAAACCAAGAAAACCAUUUCCGCCCUUAGAAAUGACCAUGGUAAUAUUGUUACAGACGCGUCGGAUAUUCUUAUUCUAGGGAAAAAUUACUACCAAAAUUUGUAUAAAAGUACUAAACCGGACCCUUCAGAAAUAAAAAAUUAUACAAGUCAAACAAAGAUAGAUCACUCACUAUCCAAUAGUGACAGUGAACUAUUGGGGGGCAACCUAACAUUAGAAGAAUGUACAAAUGCUAUAUUUAACAUGAAACUAAAUAAAUCCCCUGGACUAGAUGGUCUCAGUGUAGAAUUUUAUCGAACAUUUUGGUCAUACCUAAAAGAAUCUGCAGUGAAAGUAUUUAAUACAUGUUAUGAAAAAGAAGAAAUGACAACUCUCCAAAAAAUAGGUGUUAUCUCCUUAUUAUAUAAAAAAAAUGAUCCAUUAUCAUUAGAUAACUACAGGCCAAUCACUUUAUUAAAUGUAGACACUAAGCUUAUGGCCUAUGCCUUAGCGCAAAG
rnacentral:lncRNA from 1 species